rnacentral:rRNA from 1 species
AUUGAACGCUGGCGGCAUGCCUUACACAUGCAAGUCGAACGGUAACAAGUCUUCGGAUGCUGACGAGUGGCGAACGGGUGAGUAAUACAUCGGAACGUGCCUAGUAGUGGGGGAUAACUACUCGAAAGAGUGGCUAAUACCGCAUGAGAUCUACGGAUGAAAGCAGGGGAUCGCAAGGCCUUGUGCUACCAGAGCGGCCGAUGGCAGAUUAGGGAGUUGGUGGGAUAAAAGCUUACCAAGCCGACGAUCUGUAGCUGGUCUGAGAGGACGAUCAGCCACACUGGGACUGAGACACGGCCCAGACUCCUACGGGAGGCAGCAGUGGGGAAUUUUGGACAAUGGGCGCAAGCCUGAUCCAGCAAUGCCGCGUGCAGGAUGAGGGCCUUCGGGUUGUAAACUGCUUUUGUACGGAACGAAAAGCCCCGGGUUAAUACCCUGGGGUCAUGACGGUACCGUAAGAAUAAGCACCGGCUAACUACGUGCCAGCCGCCGCAGUAA